rnacentral:rRNA from 1 species
AGAGUUUGAUCCUGGCUCAGAACGAACGCUGGCGGCGUGCCUAACACAUGCAAGUCGCACGAGAAAGUCCCUUUCGGGGGAUGAGUAAAGUGGCGAACGGGUGAGUAACACGUAGGUAACCUGCCUCUAAGACUGGGAUAACCUGUCGAAAGAUGGACUAAUACCAGAUAAGACCACGGAACCCUCGGUUUCUGGGAUCAAAGGAUGGCCUCUGCAUGCAAGCUGUCGCUUAGAGAUGGGCCUGCGGCCGAUUAGCUAGUUGGUAGGGUAAUGGCCUACCAAGGCGAAGAUCGGUAGCUGGUCUGAGAGGAUGGUCAGCCACACUGGGAUUGAGAUACGGCCCAGACUCCUACGGGAGGCAGCAGUGGGGAAUCUUGGGCAAUGGGCGAAAGCCUGACCCAGCAACGCCGCGUGGGUGAUGAAGGCCUUCGGGUCGUAAAGCCCUGUCGGGAGGAAAGAAUUUUCCUAGGGUUAAUACCCCUAGGAGGUGACGGUACCUCCAAAGGAAGCACCGGCUAACUCCGUGCCAGCAGCCGCGGUAAAACGGAGGGUGCUAGCGUUGUUCGGAAUCACUGGGCGUAAAGCGCGCGUAGGCGGUUUGUUAAGUCAUGCGUGAAAGCCCUCGGCUCACCCGAGGAAGUGCGCAUGAAACUGGCGAGCUAGAGUGCGGGAGAGGGGGGCGGAAUUCCAGGUGUAGCGGUGAAAUGCGUAGAUAUCUGGAGGAACACCGGUGGCGAAGGCGGCCCCCUGGUCCGACACUGACGCUAAGGCGCGAAAGCGUGGGGAGCAAACAGGAUUAGAUACCCUGGUAGUCCACGCCGUAAACGAUGGGCACUAGGUGUCUGGGGU